rnacentral:rRNA from 1 species
AUUGAACGCUGGCGGAAUGCCUAACACAUGCAAGUCGAGCGGGGUGUAGCAAUACACCUAGCGGCGGACGGGUGAGAAUACAUAGGAAUCUACCUUUAAGUGGGGAUAGCCCGGGGAAACCCGGAUUAAUACCGCAUGAUCUCGCAAGAGCAAAGCGGGGGACCGUAAGGCCUCGCGCUGAAAGAUGAGCCUAUGUCGGAUUAGCUAGUUGGCGGGGUAAAGCCCACCAAGGCGACGAUCCGUAGCUGGUCUGAGAGGACGAUCAGCCACACCGGAACUGAGACACGGUCCGGACUCCUACGGGAGGCAGCAGUGGGGAAUAUUGGACAAUGGGCGCAAGCCUGAUCCAGCAAUUCCGCGUGUGUGAAGAAGGCC